GUCAGGAGUGGCCUGGGGAUGUCCCUGUAAUGAGGAUGUGGCCUGAAGGUGUUCCUGUGACAGGGUGUGGCCUGGGAUGUUCCUGUAAUAGAGCAUGGCCUGGGACUGUUCCAUAUGAAGGGCUGUUAGACAUUCAUAGGCUACCAGCUGGUACGUGGGGUGUGGGGAGUUUGGGCCACAUGUGAACACUGUAUGGUAUCAGCACUUGGGGGACCUCUAAAGCCCUAGAAUGAAUGUGAUCCUCAUGGCAAUGAGUUGAGCUGAUGAUGAGGUCUGAGGGUUACCCUACUGUCCCAGGGCUAAGAAACUAGGGAGAUGAGGGAGCUAGUGGAGGAGAGGGUACAAGAAUGGAUAGGUGAUGUGAACCAGGAGCCUAGUGUUGCUGGCUAAUCCAGAUCUGCUGACAGGUCACAUGAAGGGGGACAGAGACUGACCAUUAGACCUGGCAGUGUGAAGUUCCUGGUGAUCUUUAUGAGAACAGGUUGAUUUCCAUCAUCGUAGAGAAAGUCUGACUGAGGCAGGUUUAAGGGAUAUAGGAGCCACAACCCAGCAACAAAAGGGCAAAUAUGCCAAUUCAGAAAGGGACAAAGGGAUUAAACAGGCAAUUUUCCAAAAAAGACCACAAAUAGCUGAGAGGCACAUGGAAAGAUGCUCAGCACCAUCAGUCAUCCGGGAAGUGCAAAUUGAAACUACAACGUGUCACUGCACACCUACUAGGAUGGUCAUAGUCCAAGAAAUGACAAAUAGCAAGUGGUGGUGGGGCUGUAGAGAAGCUGAAAUGCUUGGAUGCUGCUUCUGGGGACAAAAGGGGGCAGCAGCUGUGGAAAUCCACAUCACACUUCCUCAGAAAGCAGAACCCAGUACUUUUACAUAGCCCAGCAACCUCAUAGACAGGUUUGUACCCAAAAUGAUUGAAGGGACUGGAGCAUAUACUGUUGUCCCUUGGUUUCUUCAGGCAUUGGUUUCAGGAUCUCUUUCAGAUAUCAAAAUUUAAGGAUGCUCAUAUCCCUUACAUAAAAUGGCACAGUACACAUAUAUAACAUUCACACAUUCUCCUGUGUGAGACUAUGUAGAAUACCAUAGUACAAUGUCAAUGCUAUGUAAAUAGUUGUUAUACUGUGUUGUUUAAAGAAUAAUUACAGUAAAAAAGUCACAAUACAAAGAUUUUGUUCCUAUUUCUCCAUUUUCUCAUACUAAUUCCAUUCCCUUCUUUCCUUUCCCCCACCCCUCCCACUUCCCCUUCCCCUUUGCCCCCUUUCUUCCUAUUUCACAUUAUCUAUUAUACCUUUUAGUCCUUAUUUACACUUUCAGUUUCUCACACCAGAGAAACUAUUCGGUAUUUACACGUGUGUCCUAUUUAUUUCACUUAAAAGUAUCACCUCAAUAUGCAUCCACUUAGCUAUAAAAAUAGGAACAAAAUCUUUGUAAAUAGGGAGGAAUGGAAGGGUUGAAGGGAGGCCUGGGCAAGGGUGAAAAAUAACCAAGAGAGAUUAUGUAAAGGUGCAAAUUUCCAAUGAUGAAUGUCAUUAUAUUGUAUACCUAAAAUGUACCAAUGAUUAGAAUGAAUAAUCGAUAAUACAAAAUAGGAAGAAAAGGUCCAAAGGGGUAGGGGUAGUGGGAGGGGCAGGGGAAAGGAAAGAAGGGGAAGGAAAAAAGAUGAGAAAUGGAAAAAA
ensembl:lncRNA